UGCCACCCGUGGGGCUCAGCAAGAUAUGGCUUGCAUGGGCACAAGUUCCUUCACACUAGUGGAUGGUCUCUUCCAACCCCCACAACACCACAGAAUCUGUACUUGACCUUGAUCCACAAAUCAUGGGAUCUUGGAAAAAGUCCGAUACUGUAAUUACAUGGGUGAGUAAACUGGUCCUUCAGAUCAAGUUGAAGCACUUCUGCAUCACCGCUCUUUCCAAGGUCCAAUCUCUCAUAAACCAGUUGGAAACAACUUGAGCUUAUUGUUGUUCCAGCAUUCCAUUCAGAAGAGCUGAGGAGGGCAGUGAGAAAGCCCUGUUGCAUGUCAGCUGCCAAGAACCCCUUCACUCCCCACAGGCAUGAAGUCAAUGGGGAAGCUGGCAGGAAGUUGCAAACAGGUGCCCGCCUUCCUUAGCGACAGCAGCUGUGGUGCUAGGAUUGCUAUGUGAUGUCAUGUGUCGCCCAUUAUGACUGCUGUGCUUAGCGAUAGCAAAUCCUGUCCUGAUUGCCACUGUCAGCCAAGAACUACCUGCAUGGGGUAGGGUAGGGACGGAGAGCAAAUAACAAAUGCAGCUUUCCCCACUUCCAUAUGUGUGUGGUGAUGUGGCUUGAGCAUACAAAAGGGGCGGAGCUUGCCUUGCAGUGGCAUGUGGUGCUGCUCUUUUCACUUUUGACAGAUGCAUCAGAUCCCUUGGAUGUUUCUGGACCAGUGGUGAAAUCUAAAUUUUUUUGCUACCGGUUCUGUGGGCGUGACUUGGUGGGCAUGGCUUGGUGGGUGGGGGUCAUAUGACUGGGUGGGCGUAGCUAUGUAACCAUGUGACUGGGGAAUCAAAAGACAGAAACUCACUAACAAUGUCCUGCUGGAGCAGGGUUGGACUAGAUGACUUCUAGGUCCCUUCCAGCCCUGGAUUAUCCUAUGAAGCUGCGUCUAGUGCCAGGCCACUUUUCUUCAUCUUGGUUGCCAACCUGCCGGCCUGCCUUGCCCUUCCCUGUUCAUGUUUAUAUGCAACACACACAUGUACAUGCAGUGCUAUUUCUCAAAGAAAACCAUUGCUGGAAGGAAAUUAGCCCUUAGGACCUAUCCACGCCCAAGAACUGAUUGACUGAAGGACAAUCAAGGAACAGUUGAUUAGAAAUUCCAGAACUGCAUUGAAAAGGUAGCAAGACAAGGCCAAGGUCACAAAGAGGAAGCUUCUUGUUAAAGGCACAAUGGCCCUCUUGAGAAACUUCGCUAGCAGUUACCUUUGCUAAGUAUUGCUUAGGGUCAACCCAAAGUAACCCAAUAAAUAAAACACUUAUUAAAGAAACCCAGCAGCCUCAGUCCACAAUCAUUUGUCAAAGCUAUCCAAAUUAUACAUACCACAGAGCAGACACUUAAAAUAGGGGAAAUAAGAGUAGGAGAGAAGGUUAGAUAGGGAGGAAGAAAGGAGGAGGGGGAGAAAGGAAGGGGAUGUAGAGAAGGAGUAGGAGAGGAGGAAAGAAGAAAGUAGGAAGGAUAAAAGAAGGGAGGGAAAGAAAAGAGAGGGAGAAAAAGGAUUGCUGUAAAACAAAAAAGAUGAAAUGGAAGAAAGGCAACCCCAAAUAAGUUUAAACCUAUCAGGAUAAAGAAUGAAGUACUAUGAAAGUUAAAAGAGAAUAUAUAUGAUUAAAAAUGGAGAAAUUAGAAUUUGAGGGCGGAAGAAGAUGCUGUUUAUAUAGUAAGCAUAGAAAUAUUAAGCUAUGAUUAAAAAAAUUGG